GAACUGCAAAUCUUGAGCUUGGCUGAAGUUAUGAGUGGUGAACGAUGAAGUGAGAGAAGAAGGCAGAGACCAAAUCAGAAAAAGAUUGGAUGGUUUGCUUGGGACUUUAGACUUCAUCCACUUGAUGGUGGAGAGUAAAUGAAUAGUAAGAAAGCAAAUAUCUGAGAAGUUAAGUAACCUGGCCAAGGCAUCAAGCUGGAAUUUGAAUCCAGGCUGACGGGUUUACUUGUUCAGUAGACAAGGUUACAAAAAUAAUGCAACCUCAAGAUUAAAGAAAAAUGUAUCAUACAGCCUUGCUCUCCUUACUCUUACUACUAACUGUACCACAGCUGUGGACAUUGGACUCUGGUUAGAGGUUUAUGUAAAAGUCUGUGUAAAAGCUCUGCCCAACAAAGACCCCCAAUAUGGCAUAGUGAAUGUCCAAAACAAUCAGAUGCUCUUUUUGAGGGCAUUUGAACUUGAGACAUAAGAGAAAUAGUUCGGUAAUAUUAGUAGUAGAAGCAGAGUUAGAGUAUUCCAGUUUCCUUAAAGGCAGAGUACAAAUUGGAAUGGAAAGCUUAAUGUUGCUUUGGUGAUGACAAUACAACUUAAUGUCUUAUACCUUAAGGCUUUGUAGUUCUGGAAUUAUGUCAUCCUUAUAAGCCAUGCUAUUAUGUCUCAAUAAAACACCAUUAUAAUUGUGGUUGGAAACUU